GACGAACGCUGGCGGCGUGCUUAACACAUGCAAGUCGAACGAUGAAGCCGGAGCUUGCUCCGGUGGAUUAGUGGCGAACGGGUGAGUAACACGUGAGCAAUCUGCCCUUGACUCUGGGAUAACUGCGGGAAACUGUAGCUAAUACCGGAUACGACACCUUGGGGCAUCCCAGGGUGUGGAAAGAAUUUCGGUCAAGGAUGAGCUCGCGGCCUAUCAGCUAGUUGGUGAGGUAAUGGCUCACCAAGGCGACGACGGGUAGCCGGCCCGAGAGGGUGACCGGCCACACGGGAACUGAGACACGGUCCAGAGUCAUAAGGGAGGCAGCAGUGGGGAAUAUUGCACAAUGGGCGAAAGCCUGAUGCAGCAACGCAGCGUGAGGGAUGAAGGCCUUCGGGUUGUAAACCUCUUUUAGCAGGGAAGAAGCGAAAGUGACGGUACCUGCAGAAAAAGCACCGGCUAACUACGUGCCAGCAGCCGCAGUAA
rnacentral:rRNA from 1 species